UUGACAUGCACUGGUGUCCUUGAAGUCUGCUGCCUGCAUCUAGAAUUGAAAUGUAUGACAGGAGGUCUGAUUAGCCAAAAAAUUGGACAAGCAGAACAUUUCUAAUAAUGCAAUUUUAAUACACUAUAAAUUAAUUUUACCACUGGUAUGUACUGUUUUUUUCCGACCUGAGUGCCAGGACUUCAGGGCACCAGUUGGACCAAGUAAAGCAAAAAGGUAAAAAUUGAGGAGAAAAUUUUGGAAAGGAAUAAGAAUUGGACACAGGUUAAAUAAAAUUUUUCAUAGUGAGCUGUUUUGUUCAGUGCAGCAAAGGUUGCUCUGCAUCAUAAAUGAAGAUGAAGGAAACCCUAAUCAUGGCAGUGGUACUUUUCUUCACCAAGGGAUUAACUGAAUAUUAUACUCAUACACAUAAGCAAGGCACAUAAAGCCUUAAUAUGAUGAGUAUUCAAACAUCUGUCAAGAUCAAAAACGGUUCCCCUAUGAAAAUAUUUCAGCAAACAUGCUGGAACAGUCAAGGUGGGCUACUACCUGCUCAUUUAAUAGUGGACACUGCAUGGUGGACAUAUUUGACCAAGUCAGGACAAUAAUCCAUAUGCGAAUUAGCACAAAAGCAAAUGAAGAUAAAGCCUCACAAAUAACACAGAGAAAUAUGCAAAAGUGAUUAAAAAAUCAAGUGAAAAAUAAAGACUGAAUAACUUUAGUCUUAUUAGUAAUAAUAAAAAUAAUUUUCAAUAAUAAUGACAAUGUUGAAAGUUG